rfam:Triticum urartu cultivar G1812 contig304544, whole genome shotgun sequence.
CAUGUACUCCCUCCGUCCGGAAAUACUUCUCGUCAAAAUGGAUAAAAGGGGAUGUAUCUAGAACUAAAAUACGUCUAGAUACAUCCCUUUUUAUCCAUCUUGAUGAUAAGUAUUUCCGGACGGAGGGAGUAUAGU